rnacentral:rRNA from 1 species
AAAUUGAAGAGUUUGAUCAUGGCUCAGAUUGAACGCUGGCGGCAGGCCUAACACAUGCAAGUCGAACGGUAACAGGAAACAGCUUGCUGUUUCGCUGACGAGUGGCGGACGGGUGAGUAAUGUCUGGGAAACUGCCUGAUGGAGGGGGAUAACUACUGGAAACGGUAGCUAAUACCGCAUAACGUCGCAAGACCAAAGAGGGGGACCUUCGGGCCUCUUGCCAUCGGAUGUGCCCAGAUGGGAUUAGCUAGUAGGUGGGGUAACGGCUCACCUAGGCGACGAUCCCUAGCUGGUCUGAGAGGAUGGCCAGCCACACUGGAACUGAGACACGGUCCAGACUCCUACGGGAGGCAGCAGUGGGGAAUAUUGCACAAUGGGCGCAAGCCUGAUGCAGCCAUGCCGCGUGUAUGAAGAAGGCCUUCGGGUUGU